rnacentral:rRNA from 1 species
CGAUUUUUUUGUUUUUGAUGAAGAGCGCAGCCAAAUAUGGGAAGGGGGGGGGGGGUGCAUAAAGCUUUGAACAUGGACAUCUAGACAGCCUAUUGCGGCCAUGGGUUAGCCUGUGAACACGCAUGUCCGAGGGUCGGCUUAUAAACUAUCACCACGCCCAAAAGAUCGUGGAUUGGGUUUUGCCAGGUAGCGAAAUCUCCCCUAAGAGUAAUCAUGUGAGGUGCCAGAUUUACGGCGUUUCCCUAAAGUAUCCGGAUGCACCCUUGUAUUGGCAGAAAGCCGUGGCGAGGCGCAGCGGCGGAAUCGUGGUUUAAUAAUAGGGUUGGUACUCAGUCGUCAGGGUUUUUUUCUGUAACAAGGAGUCGGCACACUCAUGAUUUCUGAGAUAAUUCCAUACCAGGCACGUUCCCCUACCCAUACUUUCCUUUUAAAAAAGAGAAAUAAGUCAUGCUCUGACCGGGGCCCUAAAAUACCCUUCGUGGAAUAUCCUCCCAACCUCGUCAGACUGAUAGUCGGACACCCGAGUCGUAGAAAUAAG